rnacentral:rRNA from 1 species
GGACCGGGACGGACAGGCCGCUGGUGUACCAGUUGUCCCGCCAGGGGCAUAGCUGGGUAGCCAUGCCUGGAAGGGAUAAGCGCUGAAAGCAUCUAAGCGCGAAGCCCGCCCCAAGAUGAGGUUUCCUGCCGGGGUAAAACCCGGGUAAGACCCCUGGUAGACUACCAGGUAGAUAGGCCGGAGGUGUAAGCCGGGUAACCGGUUGAGCUGACCGGUACUAAUCGGUCGAGGUCUUGACCUG